rnacentral:rRNA from 1 species
GACGAGGGAUCCUAGCGUUGUUCGGAAUUAUUGGGCGUAAAGCGGGUGUAGGCGGUCUUAUAAGUCAGGUGUGAAAUCCCGGGGCUCAACCCCGGAAGUGCACUUGAUACUGUAAGUCUUGAAUGUGGUAGAGGCUACUGGAAUUGUUGGUGUAGUGGUGAAAUACGUAGAUAUCAACAGGAAUACCGGAGGCGAAGGCGGGUAGCUGGGCCAACAUUGACGCUGAGACCCGAAAGUGUGGGGAUCAAACAGG